rnacentral:rRNA from 1 species
CGCGUAGGCGGUUUGCUAAGUUGGAUGUGAAAACUCUGGGCUUAACCCAGAGCCUGCAUUCAAAACUGACAGGCUAGAGUUCUGGAGGGGAUAGCGGAAUUCCUGGUGUAGCGGUGAAAUGCGUAGAUAUCAGGAGGAACACCGGUGGCGAAGGCGGCUAUCUGGACAGAAACUGACGCUGAGGCGCGAAAGCUAGGGGAGCAAACAGGAUUAGAUACCCUGGUAGUCCUAGCCCUAAACGAUGGAUACUUGCUGUAGCUGGGAUUGAAUCCAGCUGUGGCGAAGCUAACGCAUUAAGUAUCCCGCCUGGGGAGUACGGUCGCAAGGCUGAA